rnacentral:tRNA from 1 species
GUCCCGGUAGCUCAAAUGGAAGAGCGACGCAGUCCUAACGCGUAGGCUGCAGGUUCAAUUCCUGCCCGGGAUA